rnacentral:lncRNA from 1 species
UGUCUCUUGAGCAAACCCGGCAUCGGUCUAUCAGCCACUUGCUUAACCCCAUGAAGAGUCUCCUCUCCCAAGGGGGGAUCUGACCACACUGUCCCGGGCUUUCCCCUCCAGGGGGCCUCACCGCCUGCAAGAACUCCCACAACAGAGGAGGCUGAGCUGGGGCUGAAGGGCCAUGCUGGUGCUGCUUGGAGUCUCCACCACUGGGAGCAUAGCUCGCCUGGGCGCCGGGCGCUGAGCUGUGCGCUUUCUGUUCUUUAUUGCCUUGAAACGUCACACUGGCCUUAAGAAAUGGAUACUCUUACUACCUUUUGCAGGUGAGUCACCUGAGGCUUAGAGAAGUUAAAUGACGUGCCCAGCAUCACACACCUACCAAUGUCAGACCUGCAACCAGGCCCAA